rfam:Salmo salar isolate Sally breed double haploid chromosome ssa07, whole genome shotgun sequence.
UCCAUUCACUACUUUAAGUUGCUCUGGAUAAGAGCAUCUGCUAAAUGUCAGUUA